ensembl:lncRNA
AGGUCCUGAAAGCUGAAUCAGAGGAGUCUUUGCAUAAUCUUAUUUUGCAAAACAGCACAAUCUUCCAAACUGCUGGAUGCCUCAGAAACGUCAAGCCUUUUGAGAAACAAGCAUUUGUGGAGGAGUACCUCAGAUGGUACAUCCUUGAAAGAAACCAAAGUGUCAUUCAACGUUAUUUGUCUAUCCUUUGCAGAUUUAAAGAUGGACUGGAAAGUCUGAAUUUUUUAAGUGCACUGCAACAAAAUUCCAGUGUGCUUUACAUCAGUGCAUCUGACUCUUUGCUUUGCAUUUGGGGAUGCAAGGCUUGGAUGCAGCUUUUUCCUUUGUAUGUUUUUUUUUCUAGUUUCUCUGAGCAAUGUAUGUUCUGACCUUGGGAAGAGAUGCACGCCUAGGAAGAUUGGCAUGUUAAGUGUAUUCCAUUCAUGAGCACUCCUUCUCACUGUAUAAUAAUGGACUUCAUGUUGUUUGACCAUUUCAAAA